GCCAGACUCCUACGGGAGGCAGCAGUGGGGAAUAUUGGGCAAUGGGCGCAAGCCUGACCCAGCAAUGCCGCGUGAAGGAAGAAGGCUUUCGGGUUGUAAACUUCUUUGACAGGGGAAGAGCAGAAGACGGUACCCUGAAAACAAGCCACGGCUAACUACGUGCCAGCAGCCGCGGUAAUACGUAGGUGGCAAGCGUUGUCCGGAUUUACUGGGUGUAAAGGGAGCGUAGACGGAAUUGCAAGUCUGAUGUGAAAAUCCGGGGCCCAACCCCGGAACUGCAUUGGAAACUGUAUUUCUAGAGUGUCGGAGAGGCAAGUGGAAUUCCUGGUGUAGCGGUGAAAUGCGUAGAUAUCAGGAGGAACACCAGUGGCGAAGGCGGCUUGCUGGACGAUGACUGACGUUGAGGCUCGAAAGCGUGGGGAGCAAACAGGAUUAGAUACCCUUGUA
rnacentral:rRNA from 1 species